rnacentral:lncRNA from 1 species
AUGGUUCCAAAUUGUCCUGGUGCUGAGUUAGCAUACUCCAAGAGGAACCCACCAGCUAAAGAGGGCUUCAUACUACUGGUCCAGGAGCAGUUUCAGUGUCAAAAUUGCCCCAGGAACAAGGGAGAAAACACUUCAAAUCAACUAUGGCUUUCCCGACAGCCUUUUCCUGGAAAGGAUAUUUUCUGCUACAAAAGAGAUUUCUACAGAAAAAUUCUGCUAUGGUCAACUAACUAGAGCAUCUGGUGUUUGCAGCUGCUCUAAGGUGGUUUUGCUGGGUGGGGAUUUAUGUCAGACAAACUUGCAGAACUGAGCCCUCAGUUUGCAAACGUAAGUGAUGACUUUGGGUCAGCGAUGACUGAGGAUUUCACCUGGAGGGCGGCGACCUUCAGUUCAUUGAAAGAAAUUCCAAAGGUGAGCUUCGUGACACUCUGAAGAGAUGCUGGAGGGAAAUAUUGGAGCUUUCCACCAAGGUUGUGAGCCAAGCCAGGUUCCAUCUGUGGGCUCUGCCUCUACUUGGUCACAUCUA